rnacentral:rRNA from 1 species
ACGGCCUAAAGCGUGAUUAAAUUAUAUUAAGGUAAAUAGAAAUAAAAAUUAACUCAACUGUUGUACGUAUUUGUUAAAUGGUAAACCAAAAACGAAAGAUAUUCUAAUAAACAAUUUACUUGAACCCACGAAAGCUAAGAAACAAACUAGGAUUAGAUACCCUACUAUGCUUAGCCUUAAACUUUGGAAUUUACCCGCCCGAGUACUACGAGCCACAGCUUAAAACUCAAAGGACUUGGCGGUGCUCUACACCCCCCUAGAGGAGCCUGUUCUAUAAUUGAUACCCCCCGCUUAACCUCACCCCUUAUUGCCAAUACCGCCUAUAUACCGCCGUCGUCAGCUCACCAUUUAAAUGAGGAAUAGUAGGCAUAAUGAUAAACAUAAAAACGUCAGGUCAAGGUGUAGCGAAUUAAGAGGAAAGAAAUGGGCUACAUUUUCUAAACUAGAAAACACGAAAAAUUUUAUGAAAAACUAUUUAAAGGUGGAUUUAGCAGUAAAAAGAAAAUAGAGUGUUCUUUUUAAAUUGGCCAUAGAGCGCGCACACACCGCCCGUCACCCUCAUCAGAAAGACAAUUAAUUAAAUAAUAAAAGAAAAAGAAAGAAGAGGUAAGUCGUAACAAGGUAAGUUUACCGGAAGGUGUACUUGGAUUAU